rnacentral:rRNA from 1 species
CAGUCGCCGCGGGAAUACAGAGGGUGCAAGCGUUAAUCGGAAUUACUGGGCGUAAAGCGCGCGUAGGUGGUUUGUUAAGUUGGAUGUGAAAUCCCCGGGCUCAACCUGGGAACUGCAUCCAAAACUGGCAAGCUAGAGUAUGGUAGAUGGUGGUGGAAUUUCCUGUGUAGCGGUGAAAUGCGUAGAUAUAGGAAGGAACACCAGUGGCGAAGGCGACCACCUUGACUGAUACUGACACUGAGGUGCGAAAGCGUGGGGAGCAAACAGGAUUAGAUACCCCCGUAGUCCCUGUCUCUUAUAC